CUGCCACACUGGGACUGAGACACGGCCCAGACUCCUACGGGAGGCAGCAGUGGGGAAUUUUGGACAAUGGGGGCAACCCUGAUCCAGCCAUGCCGCGUGUCUGAAGAAGGCCUUCGGGUUGUAAAGGACUUUUGUCAGGGAGGAAAUCCUUAAGGCUAAUACCCUUGGGGGAUGACAGUACCUGAAGAAUAAGCACCGGCUAACUACGUGCCAGCAGCCGCGGUAAUACGUAGGGUGCAAGCGUUAAUCGGAAUUACUGGGCGUAAAGCGUGCGCAGGCGGUUUGAAAAGUCAGCUGUGAAAGCC
rnacentral:rRNA from 1 species